GGCCCACUGAACCUUACACAUUGAACCUCCAGAACUCUGACCCCAUCUGUGCUAUUGUGGUAUUAGCAACAGAACACUGAGACAUGUUCCAGAGAACUCUACAGGAUGCUGUGAAUGCGUCUCAGGUAUAAUCAAGGAGGCUCCACCUCCUGGCUCAGGACAACGGCCCAAGCCUAACAAAAGACCAGUACACAGUUAGCACACAAUAAAUAUUUGCUGGCUCAGUGAAAGUAGGAAGAAUCAGUUGGCACAGUUCAAAUACAUAAUCACAAAUCAUGGAUUACUCUACAAUCAGACUUCACAUCCUCAGGCACUAUAUCCACAAA